AUUCCAUGAUGUGGCCAUUUUCAUAAUAAUUAUUUGUACCUUUCCCAUGCCUCAUCCAAGGACUUAUCAUGCAAUUGUUGGAAAGUAGUGAUCUCGUUCCUCAACUU
rfam:Gossypium arboreum cultivar AKA8401 contig_3380_11, whole genome shotgun sequence.